rnacentral:rRNA from 1 species
GGUGAUCCCGGCUGCCGAGAAAAGCUUCGGCGUCAGGCUCAAAGCCGCCCGUACCCCAAACCGACACUGGUGGUCAGGUAGAGAAUACCAAAGCGAUCGAGCGAAUCCUGGUCAAGGAACUCGGCAAAUCACUCCCGUUCCUUCGGUUUAAGGGAGACCCCCGAUGGUGAACACACUUGCUGUGGGAGCUUUUGGGGGUGGCACAGACCAGGGGGUAGCGACUGUUUACCAAAAACACAGGUGCAUGCGAAGGCGCAAGCCGCUGUAUAUGCGCUGACGCCUGCCCGGUGCCGGAAGGUUAAGAGGAUCCGUCAGCCUUCGGGUGAAGCGGUGAAUUCAAGCCCCGGUAAACGGCGGUGGUAACAAUAACCAUCCUAAGGUAGCGAAAUUCCUUGUCGGGUAAGUUCCGACCUGCACGAAUGGCGUAACGACUUCCCCACUGUCUCGACCAGGAGCUCGGCGAAAUUGCAGUACGAGUAAAGAUGCUCGUUAAGCGCAGAAGGACGAAAAGACCCCGGGACCUUUACUAUACCUUGGUAUUGGCAUUCGGUGUGGAUUGUGUAGCAUAGGCGGGAGGCCGAGAGGCGCGGUCGCCAGAUCGCGCGGAGCCGUAAGGUGAAAUACCGCUCUGCUCGCAUUGGAUGUCUAACCUCGAACAGUCAUCCUGUUCAGGGACAGUGCCUGGCGGGUAGUUUAACUGGGGCGGUUGCCUCCCAAAGAGUAACGGAGGCGCCCAAAGGUCCGCUCAGCCCGGUUGGCAAUCGGGUGGCGAGUGCAAGUGCACAAGCGGGCUUGACUGCGAGGACGACGGUCCGAGCAGGGACGAAAGUCGGGACUAGUGAUCCGGUGCCGGUGUACGGACGCGGCAUCGCUCAACGGAUAAAAGGUACCCCGGGGAUAACAGGCUGAUCAUUCCCAAGAGUCCAUAUCGACGGGAUGGUUUGGCACCUCGAUGUCGGCUCGUCGCAUCCUGGGGCUGGAGCAGGUCCCAAGGGUUCGGCUGUUCGCCGAUUAAAGCGGCACGCGAGCUGGGUUCAGAACGUCGUGAGACAGUUUGGUCUCUAUCCUCUGCGCUCGUUGGAAUGCUGAGGAGGCCUGCCCAUAGUACGAGAGGACCUGGGUGGACGAACCUCUGGUAUGCCGGUUGUCACGCCAGUGGCACGGCCGGUUGGCUACGUUCGGAAGGGAUAACCGCUGAAAGCAUCUAAGCGGGAAGCCUGCUCCAAGAUAAGCAUUCCGUGGAACCUUCGAGUUCCUGUAGUCCCCAUGCAGAACACGUGGUCGAUAGGCCGGACGUGGAAGCCCCGCGAGGGGUGGAGCCGACCGGUACUAACGGACGAAAGGCAU